GGGCGGUUAGCUCAGUUGGGAGAGCGCCAGAAUCGCACUCUGGAGGUCGGGGGUUCGACCCCCCUACCGUCCACCA
rnacentral:tRNA from 3 species